GGGAUUUCCGAAUGGGGAAACCUAAUUUCGUUUAAACGAAAUUGUCGAAGUUAAAUUCGAUGCGAACCCGCUGAAGUGAAACAUCUCAGUAGGCGGAGGAAAAGAAAACAAUAGUGAUUCCCUAAGUAGCGGCGAGCGAAAGGGGAGAAGCCCAAAAUUAUUCGCGCUUUGCGUGAAUAAUGGUUGUAAGGGGAUAACGUCUAUUCAAUUAGAGGGAGUUAUAAAUAAUUUAAUUAGCUGAACUUCUUUGGAAAGAGAGACCAAAGACGGUGAUAGUCCGGUAAGUGAAAAUUAAAUUAUGCUCCUUGUUAUCUUUCUUGAGUACUGUCGAGUCAAGACAAUUCGGCAGGAAUCUAGCGGGACUACCCGCUAAGGCUAAAUACAAUCUGGUCACCGAUAGUGAACUAGUACCGUGAGGGAAAGGUGAAAAGUCAGAGCUGAUAUUUAUAUCAGUGAUGGCGUGCUUUUUGCAGAACGAGCCAACGAGUCUCUUUUACCAAUUUGUCUAAGCGCUUACGGCGCGGAGGCACAGGGAAACCAAGUCUUAAUAGGGCGAAUAUAAUUGGUGGAGGAGGACCCGAAGCCAGACGAGCUUGCCAUGGCCAGGAUGAAGCUUUCAGAAAUGAAAGUGGAGGUCCGAACCCGUUUGUCGUGCAAUUCUAUCAAACUCCGAAUGCCAAAAUAUAUACAGAGGGAGUCAGACAGUGGGAGCGAAGUUCCAUUGUCGCGAGGGAAACAGCCCAGAUCGUCAUCUAAGGUCCCUAAAUCUAAACUAAGUGUUAGUAAGGAGGUGAAAUUUCUCAGAUAGCUAGGAGGUUAGCUUAGAAGCAGCUAUCCUUUAAAAAGUGCGUAACAGCUUACUAGUUAAGAGAUUUUGCGCCGAAGAUUUCCGGGACUCAAGUUUAGUACCGAAGAUACGACUUGGUAUUUUUAAUACCAGGGGUAGGGAAGCGUUCUUAUUGCACUGAAGCUGAACCGUGAGGUUUGGUGGAGCGAUGAGAAGUGAGAAUGUUGGCAUAAGUAACCACAAUUGAAGUGAGAUUCUUCAACACCGUAAAUCCAAGGUUUCCUUGGCAAUGUAGAUCAGCCAAGGGUUAGGCGGGCCUUAGGAGAAGCCGAAAGGUUUAUCUGAUGGACAGCCGGUUAAUAUUCCGGCCCUCUAACAUUUUUCUGAAGGGUGACGCGAUUUAGUAGCUUGAGCGGAUUAUUGGAUUUCCGUCGACUAUUUAAGGGGCAACCCAAGAAUAGGAGCGUAGCUUAUCCUCGGAUAAGUUAAGUCAAGUGAGCAAGUCGACAAGAAAAGCCCGCAAGGUUAAAAAUGUUAGAUCCGUACUAAAACCGACACAGGUGGAUGGGCACAAGUGUGCCAAGGUGAACAAGUGAAAGAUCCUGAAGGAACUCGGCAAAAAAGUGAUCGUAACUUAGGAAUAAGAUCUGCCUUUCUUUGCAAGAAGAAAGGCCGCAGCGAGCGUUUCUCUAGCGACUGUUUAUCAAAAACACAGGUCCCUGCUAAUUCGUAAGAGGAAGUAUAGGGGCUGAGGCCUGACCAGUGCUGGAGUGUUAAAAGUGGCGGUUGCCUCGCUCUUGUUUCAUGAAACGAUCCUGAGUUCUUGUAAGUAGUUUGAUUAGUUAAGAUAAUAAUAAUUUAAUGUGUCUUUUUCAAAAAUAGGUAAGAUAUAUUGCAAUAUUAAGGAACUCAGAGAUUGCGUUCGUGAAUCGAGAGCGGGGCAGCUGACUGCUCCAAGCCUCCGGUGAACGUCCGCGGUAACUCUGACCGUGUUAAAGUAGCGUAAUCCCUUGUCGGGUAAGUUCCGACCCGCAUGAAAGGCUUAACGACUGGAGAACUGUCUCCAGGAUCUGCUUGGUGAAAUUGCAGUAGAGGUGAAAAUGCCUCUUACCUGUGGCUAGACAAAAAGACCCCGGGAGCUUUACUAUAUCCUGGCAUUGAAUUUUGAUAUUAAUUGCGUAGCGUAGGAGGGAGACUUUGAAGCUAUCUUUUCGGAGAUAGUGGAGUCGCCAAUGAAACACCUCUCUUUUAAUGUUAAGGUUCUAACUUUGUUACCUGAGGAGGGUAGCAGAAGACAGUGCUUGGUUGGUAGUUUAAGUGGGGCGCUUUUCUCCUAAAAAGUAACGGAGAAGCUUAAAGGUUGGCUAGAUCCGGAUGGAAAUCGGAUUGGUCCUGUAAAGGGAUAAGCCAGCUUGACUGCAAGACGGGUAUGUCGCGCAGAUGCGAAAGCAGAACUUAGUGAACCGACCAUGGUUCGUAGGACCGUGGGAGAUCAUCAGAUAAAAGUUACCCCGGGGAUAACAGGCUGGUAGUGCCCAAGAGUCCAUAUCAACGGCACUGUUCGGCACCUUAACAUAUCGGGGUGCAUUAACAGCAAUGUUAUUUUAAAAAAAUUGGCUUAUAACGGUAGACUCCAUAGUGAAAAUCAGCUAUAAUAAAUUCAUUAUGGACAAUACCGUGGGAAGUCUAACACAAUUACAAAAAUCAUUGAUUAUAGGUUCGGUUUUAGGUGACGGGCAUAUUAGAAUUAUGCCUGGGCGCAAAGAUGCUUUUUUAGAGAUAAAUCAUUCUCUAAAAGCAAAAGAUUAUGCAGAUUGGAAAUAUUCUGUACUAAAGAAUAUUUGCAAUUCCGAACCUAAGGAAAGAGAAACCAAUGAAGGUAGAAUGGUUUAUUGUUUUUUUACUAAACAAGAUAAAGAAAUUACAGAAAUAUAUAAUCUCUUUUAUCAA
rnacentral:rRNA from 1 species